AGAAUGGAUUCCAUUACACAGCAGGAACAUCAUAUGUGUAUGGAAGUAUGCUCAUGUCAUAUUUAAAACCAAUGCUAUUGUCAGGACUUUGUCUUGGAUUUGUUUUGCUUCUUCGAUGCAGAGAAUAUUUGGAACGAGCCAGGCGUGAAUGAGCUCGCAGAAGCUCCGCUGGGAACACCAGACAUGCCCCAGCACUCAUCAGGCAGACCGCGCCCACUCUCCGCCACAGCCGGCGGCAAUCAACACCUGACACACCUGGCAUUGAUGAAGGAUGCCAGUAUAAGAACGGUCGACGCUGACUCAUCGACGUCAGAACGUAAUAUCUACAACCCCGCUCGUGUCACCACUGCUGUUUCCCUCCUGGACCUGUUUUGCUCUCCCUGAUCCUUGACCCGUUUUGAAAUUUUGGACUUCUCUCUCCUGUUUUUGACCCCCGCUCGGAGCUUGGACUUCCCCUGGCUUCUUCCCCUUGGACUUGGACGCUGAACAACCAACACGCACCCCAACAAACCUCACGGUAUCUACAUAUGAUAAAUCUCACACAUAGUCUUCCAUACAAACGCAUAGUAGCAUACACAGUCCACGUAAUCAUCAAGUCUUCAAUAAACCUGUUGAUCUUGACAUUCCGUUGCUGUGCCGUCUCCUUCCCCAGUAUAAUCAUAACAAUAUUUCCCCAAAAUCCCCAAAGUUACAUACGUGACAUACACAUAGCAGCAUGCACGUAGGGGCAAGCGAUCAAAUGUUUGGAAGACAAAUGUAUGCCGAACAUCAAAAAUGUGCCAACUGCUUU